ensembl:lncRNA
UCUGUGGCCCUGAUUGAUCCUGUGUAGCACAGUUUCAGGAUUUCCCCUAAGGUCUUAACGCAGAACGAUUGUUGAUCUCUCGCUAAUACCGAAGGAAAAAUGUAAUGACUUUGACCGGAUAUAUUUCAAUUCGUCAGGAGUGUCUCCAGCACCUUUCCCGUAUUCCUGAUUCUGUAAGGAAAUGCCUGAAGCGCUACGCUGUGGUGACGAGAGCUGCCGGCUCACGUCCAUCGGAAGUGGAGAGUGGGAGAGAGAUUGUGUGAAUGUAAGCCGUAGGGUUAGGGGGUGAGUUUCUCUCACCACAGCAGCUGCCGCGCUUUGGUCUCAAGUCUCCAAAACCAUAACCCCCAGGUCAGCGUAGCUCGAAUAGCCGAACAUGAAUAGCCUAAAAAUAACACGGUUGCUUUUCACGUGCUGCGUCCUGUUGUUGAUUUUGUUAUUGUCUCCUAUUUCAUUCGGUGACUGGGCAGAGCAUCCCCCCCCUCGAUUUUCACACUUCAGCUCAUGACACAAAUUACCUGUAAUUUAAAACACCCUUCCAUCAUGGUCUUAAUCUGUUCAAGGGAAAAGUCAAUGUCCCUGUGCAUUCAUUUCCCUCUCCAUCUCUCUCCGCCGACCUGACUCACUCUUUUGCUUCCCUCUCCUCUCUUAACUUCGCCUCUCCACUUUUGUCUUCUCGUUCUCUCUGUCUCUCCCUCUACCCUCUCCCUUCUUCUUUCCUUCUCUUACACACAUUACGAUUUAUGGCCUUGGCAAGGCAGUGAAAGAAGAAUAGAAGGACUGUGGUAACCGAGCGUGGAUUUUUGAAGGAAAUUGUGUGUGUGUGUGUGUGUGUGUGUGUGUGUGUGCUCUGUCUGAAUCGACUCCCCUGGCAUUUGGAUGUAAAGCUGAGAUGUAGUGUUGUGCCCAUGAGAGAGAUGGGCCGGACAGUGGAUCCAUACUGGACUACGACGGAGAAAGAGGUGGUAUAUAUCACGAGUUAGGCCCAGUACACCUCCAUCCCAAGGAUGUAAAACCUUGGAAUGAAAGAGAAAAGCAUUACAUCACAUCGUUUUUUCUUUGCACAGCUUCCAAAGUUUUCAAACCACCCGGCUGGUUUAUGAAAUCCAACGAAAUAUGUCAUUAGAAAUCCAUAGACAGUCGCCAGUUGUUUUCCUUGUGGCACAAACAUGGCCGAACCCUUAGCAACGUCUGCACAUUUGUGGUGGAUAUAUUGCAGGUUUCCUAAAUUCAACAGUGUCAGCUUCUUUUAUAUCUCACUAAACGCCAAAGAAACACUGCAACGAAGCAACAGAGAGAAAAGCUCUUGCAGCCAAACACCUUGCCGGUAGAACGCAGGACGGACCGCGUGCCGUAGACCCAAAAGGAACUACGGAAAUACAACGGGCAGUGUAUUGUCUGGGGCUGCAAUGGACCAGAAAUCUUAUUUGGGCCCCAUCAGAGCAUGUUGAACUGCAGGGAUUAUUUGACACAAUGUCAACAGCCACAUUAGGAGGCUCAGGAGCUUUAUUUCCAACACACGCUGCCAAAGUUGGCAGAGAACUUUGUGGAGGGAAGGCUGCAGGCAUUGGCGGUUCCAGGCAAGACAAAUCAAUGAAGCGUUAUCAAGAAUAUCUCUAGCGCCCCUUGUAGAACCAACAAGAAAGAAGAAAAUGGUCUUUCACAAUUUCAAGAUAUAUGAGAAUAUUUCAGCUGGCACAGCUAUAUAACAAUUUUGUAUUUAUGUAUAAUGGGGGGAUUGAAAAUGAACCAUUUUGUAUAAUGAGGGGAUUGCAAAUUAAAAUGUUGUAUAAUGAGGAGAUUGCAAAUGAACAAUUUUGUAUAAUAAGGGAAUUUAAAAAUAACACAUUUUCAU